rnacentral:rRNA from 1 species
CAGUCGCCGCGGGAAUACGAAGGGGGCUAGCGUUGUUCGGAUUUACUGGGCGUAAAGCGCGCGCAGGCGGAUAGGUCAGUCUGUCUUAAAAGUUCGGGGCUUAACCCCGUGAUGAGAUGGAAACUGCCAAUCUAGAGUAUCGGAGAGGAAAGUGGAAUUCCUAGUGUAGCGGUGAAAUGCGUAGAUAUUAGGAAGAACACCAGUGGCGAAGGCGACUUUCUGGACGAAAACUGACGCUGAGGCGCGAAAGCCAGGGGAGCGAACGGGAUUAGAUACCCGAGUAGUCCCUGUCUCUUAUACA